GGGGGACGUUAUAGAACUACAACUUUAAUAAUGAAUGUGAAUAUAUUUAUUACUCCCUUCAUGCAAAAUAAAAUACUAUUAGUACUUUCUUCCAUUUAAAUUUAAACAGGAUUAUUUUUAUUUUUGAAAUGUUUUAUAAAUAUUUGACACUUCUAUUUUAGUAUAUAUAUAAUUUUCCAACGAAAUUGUGUUCUGUAAAAUCGCUUCUUCUAAUAUGGCUCCGCCCCAGAAUUAUAGCUUAACGGCAUGUUCAAUAAUGCAAUAGUAGUUUGAGUUUCCUCCGUCGUUUUUCAAAUUAUUCUAAAAUGCUUUAUUUAAGCUGAGAAUCUAUUGAAAAUAGUUAUUUUUUUAUUAUGAGAUAAGAAUAUAAUAUAUGUACAUUCUAUCUUUCUCAAAAUUCCACUAAUGAAAUUUUACAAUGAAUAUGUUAUUGUUAUGUUUUUUAAUCGAUUUAAAAAAACAAAAAUACUUUUUUUACCUAUAGUAAUUUUUAUUUAUACUUAUUUUAUCUUUAAUAAAAUAAUUUAUACCCUACUUGUUUUAAACCAUAAAUUUUUAUAAAUAUCUUUUUAUUUUUUAAUUUUAUUUUUUGAUGACAAGGGAAACCCGCAGCCGCUACCCUUUGGGUGCGCACAGGGUAAAACCCCCGCUCCUAUGCAAUAGCUCGCAAACCACAUAGGAGAGGUAACCCGCACUAGGCAAGCCUGGUGCGACGAGCUCGACCCAGAAGGCAAACCCCUUGCUUUCGCUUGCAAGGGGUUUCGAACUUGAGACCUCCAACAUGGAAGUCCCAAGCUCAAAUUAUUUUUAUUUUAUUUUUUAAUUUUCCACGUGCAGAUUCGGAAUAUUGGGUUAUAUAGCACAACUCUACUAUAUUGCUCUGAAUUAUUCUCUCAGUCAUAUCCACUGCUAGAGUAAAUGUCUUUUCUUCUUAAGCUAACUUUCGUUGCUAAUAGCAACUGAGAUUACUUUGUUGUCGGUCUUCUUGCAUCUAGUUGGUUGUCUUGCUCCAACCAAGAGACAACCAUGUUAGAAUUGCCUGGUCGUCCAUAAAUUUAGAAAGAAUAAAAUAGUAAAAAAUAUUAUAUAUAUAUACAUCAUUCAAGCGAAGUAAUUUGUAUUGAACACCAAAUAGGUUAGAAAGCAAUUUUUUCUUUUCAUACUGGGCUAGAUUCAGAGUACGUCUUACUAAAUUUGUAAUACAAGAUAAUCUAAGUUUGGACCUAAACUUCUCACAAGUAACUAAGUAUUGACAUUUCAAAAAUACCUGAUAAAGGAAAGUCAGCAGCAGAGGAGAAUAUGUAGCUGCCAAAUUUUGUUAAACAUGAAAUAUAUGAUCUUGAGGUGCAUAAGCACUAAUAACUAAGUAUUGACAUUUCAAAAAUGCCACUUGAGGUGCAUAAGCACUAAUAACACUCAAAGUACAUCCUCCAAUGACUAGCUUAAUCGUCGUCAACCUAUCAUUGAUCCUCCUAACCUCCACCACUUGCUCCCUCAAAUCCCCGUCUACUAAAAUACCCACUCCAUUUCUAUCCUUUGAGCCUCCUGAGUACCACAACUUAAACCCGUCGACAUCCCGAGCCUUGGAACCUACCCAUCUAGUCUCUUGGACACAAGCUAUAUUUAUCUUUCUCUUCUUGAGAAUUUUCACUAGCUCUAUGGACUUCCCCGUCAACGAACCUAUGUUCCAUGAUCCUACCCUCAAUUUAUGGGGACCCGUAACCCACUUACCACUAUUUUCCCUCGUCCUCGGCCUCAACCGAAGACAUGACUCAAUACCACCAUCAGAUACCAAAUCCACUAGAAAGAUACUGAAUCUAAUGUAAAAUCUACACAGGAAUACACUUAAUAAUACUGCAACAGGUGUAUAAUCUAAAAGACAAGAUAGCAACAACUAUACUAAAGGCUGAAGCACUGAUCCAAACUAUAAUAGAAAACAAGAAAGUACUGAUCCGGAAUAUAGAAGAUGGAGCCCUAAUCUGAACUAAAAUGCCAAUCAGAAAUAAAAAAUUCAGAUAAUCAGAGUGUAAUGCACAAUGCACAAUCAGAUAACCUUAAAAUCUACUCCUAUGCUCUUCAAAUUAUUGAAAGUAUGGUGUAAUUACCUACCAAGCAAUAUUAACUUACCUAACAAGAAGGGUUUCAAAGUAAAAAACAAAAACACAAAAUCUGCAAGAGAGGGCCCAGAAAAUAGAUUCAGAUCAAGAAAGAAAGAGAGACAGGAUAGAUAGAACCUGGUCGGUGAAGAUGGAGGGCUUCGGUGGUCUUUGGGCAAUUUUCCGGCCAGAUCUGGUUGGUCUCUGGCGACAAACAGUAGCACUGCUGGUGCGCUGUUGUUUGGCCGGUAGCUCGCCGGAGUCAGAGCUAGCUCUCGCUGGUUGCUGUUGACCGGAGCUGUUGCUGUCGUGGGUUGUCGCCGGCUGCUGCUGCUGUCCGGUGGUUGCUGGUGGUCCUCGUCGGCUGCUGGACAGACGAAGAGAAAGAGGAGACGGAGAAGAAGAACGAAGGAGAGGGAAAGAGAAAGAGAAAGAGGGGAGCGGAGCAAUCCCGUCGGAGCUGCCGUCUGGUCGGAGCAGCGCUGGUGCUCGAGAUGGCGUUGGUGUCUCUCAGUUUCGCUGGCGUCGACGGAGAGAAAGAGAGAGGAGGGCUGCGGUGCUCUAGAUUAGAGCCGAUCGAUUGCUGAGUGACCGUACCAGCAUUCACUGAGCGGUGUGUAUCACCCAGAUCUCGGCGCGUGAGGUCGGAAAUCUCAAUAUACAAAAUAUUUUUCAUAACAAACAUAAAAUAAAGAAUACACAAAAUAAAAUCCCAAUCUAUUGAAAAUAGUUAUUUUUUUAUUAUUAUGAGAUAAGAAUAUAAUAUAUGUACAUUCUAUCUUUCUCAAAAUUUCACUAAUGAAAUUUUACAAUGAACAUGUUAUUGUUAUGUUUUUUAAUCGAUUUAAAAAAACAAAAAUACUUUUUUUAUCUAUAGUAAUUUUUAUUUAUACUUAUUUUAUCUUUAAUAAAAUAAUUUAUACCCUACUUGUUUUAAACCAUAAAUUUUUAUAAAUAUCUUUUUAUUUUUUAAUAUUUCGUAUCGAUCUAAUCAGAAUCAAACGAUUCUUUUUUGUUUUUAAGUCUGCAACUUCACGUGACUCCGACUCUGAAGGGGUAAACUGAUUUGCAAUAAUUUAAACAGUAUAAAGUAAUCCAACUAAUUUCUAUAUAUUAUAAAUAAAAAAUUAUUUUUAUUUUAUUUUUUAAUUUUCCACGUGCAGAUUCGGAAUAUUGGGUUAUAUAGCACACCUCUACUACAUUGCUUUGAAUUAUUCUCUCAGUCAUAUCCACUGCUAGAGUAAAUGUCCUCUCUUCUUAAGCUAACUUUCGUUGCUAAUAGCAACUGAGAUUACUUUGUUGUCAGUCUUCUUGCAUCUAGUUGGUUGUCUUGCUCCAACCAAGAGACAACCAUGCUAGAAUUGCCUGGUCGUACAUAAAUUUAGAAAGAAUAAAAUAGUAAAAAAUAUUAUAUAUAUACAUCAUUCAAGCGAAGUAAUUUGUAUUGAACACCAAAUAGGUUAGAAAGCAAUUUUUUCUUUUCAUACUGGGCUAGAUUCAGAGUACGUCUUACUAAAUUUGUAAUACAAGAUAAUCUAAGUUUGGACCUAAACUUCUCACAAGUAACUAAGUAUUGACAUUUCAAAAAUACCUGAUAAAGGAAAGUCAGCAGCAAAGGAGAAUAUGUAGCUGCCAAAUUUUGUUAAACAUGAAAUAUAUGAUCUUCUUUAGUUCCUUGAAUAAAAAAAAGAUUUUUUCAAUUAAAAUAUCACUCAUUUUGAUUCAACAUUUAUUAGCUUAAAAUAUAGCAGAGUACGUAGUGGGAGUUAAUUGGGAAAACAAAUAGAAAUGAUAGACAAUGGCUCAUGCAAAGUACUAUCACAAAUAUCAAUUUCAAUCACAUAAGAGAAAUGAAAGGAGCUUUAGUGGCAAUAGAAAUCAAAGAAACAGAACUAUGUACUCAAAAACCAAAUAAAGAAAACACAAAAGGGAGGAAGCAAGCAUGGAGAAA
rnacentral:lncRNA from 1 species